UACAGAGGGUGCAAGCGUUAAUCGGAUUUACUGGGUGUAAAGGGCGCGUAGGUGGUUACGUAAGUGAGAUGUGAAAUCCCCGGGCUUAACCUGGGAACUGCAUCUUAUACCGCGUAGCUGGAGUACAUUAGAGAGUAGUGGAAUUUCCGGUGUAGCGGUGAAAUGCGUAGAUAUCGGAAGGAACACCAGUGGCGAAGGCGGCUACCUGAAUGAUACUGACACUGAGGCGCGAGAGCGUGGGGAGCAAACAGG
rnacentral:rRNA from 1 species